CACCGGCAGCUCUAGUGGUAGCAAUUUUUAUUGGGCCUAAAGCGUCCGUAGCCGGUUUAAUAAGUCUCUGGUGAAAUCCUGUAGCUUAACUGUGGGAAUUGCUGGAGAUACUAUUAGACUUGAGACCGGGAGAGGUUAGAGGUACUCCCAGGGUAGAGGUGAAAUUCUGUAAUCCUGGGAGGACCGCCUGUUGCGAAGGCGUCUAACUGGAACGGUUCUGACGGUGAGGGACGAAAGUUAGGGGCGCGAACCGGAUUAGAUACCCGGGUAGUCCCUGAGCGGGCUGGCAAGG
rnacentral:rRNA from 1 species